rnacentral:rRNA from 1 species
CCCUUAGAUGUUCUGGGCCGCACGCGUGCUACACUGAGUGGAUCAGCGGGUCAGGUUGCGCGAAAGUGUUUCCUAAUCUUGAAAUCCGCUCGUGAUGGGGAUUGACGGUUGCAAUUUUUCGUCAUGAACGAGGAAUACCUUGUAAGCGCGGGUCAUCAUCCCGCGCUGAAUACGUCCCUGCCCUUUGUACACACCGCCCGUCGCUCCUACCGAUUGAGUGGUCCGGUGAGGCUUUGGGAUCUGAGCAAAAAGAGCGUUUCGCUCGUUUGGCUCGGAAAACUCAGUCGAACCUUAUCAUUUAGAGGAAGGAGAAGUCGUAACA